AGAGGAGUAGGGAUUGAAAGGCCAAAUAUGUCUGAACAUCUAGGCAACCUGGGUCUCCAGCUCAUGAGAAAGAUAUCAAGACCUGGAUCCCAGUGAUGGAUACAUGAGACAAAGAUUAGGGAAUGCUGAAGAUGUGUUCCCAUGAGUUCCUGCCUCCUUGUACCCCACUGAGUGGAAUGUUAAAAAUACGGAGAAAGCAAUUUCUACAGAUGCAGUCCCACCUCUGGCCAUGGCCAAAAUUAGCUGGAUAAUUCUUUGAAUCUGGCUAAUGUGGAAUCUUGCAAGGACAAAGAGGAUUUGCUCACGAACUGGAGCUAACUUCCUCUUAUAGUCUAUCCUCUGUGGAUUUGUGAGUCCACACAUUUUUACCUGUACAUGAACUUGGCUAUGAAUGUGCCUUGCCAAGGAUUACACUUGUUCAUCAUCACCAUGAGAGACAUUCCAGGGAGAUGAACGUGGUGGGAUGCAGGAAAGAAACACCUUCCUGGUAGAUGAUGGCAAAAUACAAUAGUAAGCAAGGGAAGAAUUAUCAUACCAAAUCAAUGAGGAUAUUUGCUGCCAAAGGCUUAGGCAUGGAGGCCAACUGGAUUCUCAUCCAUGACCCUGAUAGGACAUCCUGAACCCCAUUUAUGUUGUUUUAAGAGUGAUUCCAUAACCUCAAGAGGUAAGUGAUCAGUGACUUAGCCCAUUUCCCUGGGAUAAUGUUAUUACAUUACAUAAUAAGUCUGUAGUUUCCAUCCGAGUUGAUAAAAUCUUACGAUAUUGUAUUGUAUUUCUCCACACUCUAAAGAACUUGGAAGUUGAUGGGUUCUUGAGAUAUGUUAAUACUUUUCCCAUUGAUUCAUAUUCUUAGGGCCAUACAUAUCUUAAGAAUACUUACAUUUAUAUACAAUUGAAUUCCAGAUAUUUCAUUUUGCUUUGUCUGACUUGAGAUCGCAGUUUAUUGGCCAUUCUGAUAUUCCCCUGGCAUCAGAAAUUGCCCUUCAACUGAUGUAUUUACUAGUUUCUAUAUUCUCUAUUGAUACAAUAAAUUAAUCAAUAAUGCCUCAUGAAUGAGAAAUAAAACUCCAUAGAAAUGCA
rnacentral:lncRNA from 10 species